UGGCGUCGGUCCCAAUCGGUGCCGAGUUCUGGAGAGCUUAGUCGUCAGUUCGACUCCAUAAGCUUCGAGUCCAGCAGUUCCUGUUACUCAUCAUGCAGCUGCAGUUACUGCCGGCUGAGGGACUGUGCGCAUGGACACAAGGGACUAAGCUAAGUUUCAUGUAACAUAUUGUUUAGCCUGUUUAAAACUUUAUUUAGGUAAUAACUUUGAUUCUCGGUAAAGAUUGUUUGUUAAAAGUAAAUAUAGACAUUACUAACAUACAAACUUUUUUGUGUAUUUGUGAAGGUUAUAUGUGUAGUACAGUUUUAUUAAUUAAGUAUAUCGCGUGAAUAUUUUUCAGAACAGGGGGCAAACUGCUAAAUUCUCAUCUGACUUCCUCCAGCUCGACACCUGGCGUUCCACAAUACAGCGCUUUUUAAGGCACUACCACUCUGUGGAACCAGCUGCCAGUAGAUAUGUAUUUCCAAACCGAUACGACUUAGGGGCUUCAAGAAAAGAGCGUUCCAUUCCCAUUCAUACUAUAAGUGCAACAAUAAUUCGUGGCUUGAGAGUAAAGUUUUGCUUAUUCAAAAAAUAAAGAUGCCCUCUAUUGGAAAUCAGAUGAACUUUGAUCGAAUACCUUAGCUAUGGCUAAACGAAAGCAUUCGUUUAUUUCGAAAAGCCGAAGACAAUUGAAAACAUUAAACAGACAGAUACUAUUAAAAACAUAUUAAAUGAACUAAUGGAAAAUAAGCAACAAAACCUAAAAAAUAUUGCUGAGAAAUUUGUGCUCGAAAAAUUCAUUCAUUCAUCAAUGGAUGAAUAUGUUUGAAAAUGAAUGCAUUCGUUUUGACUAGUUAUGAUGAUUUCGGGAUGCGCUUGAAAUCUACGAUUACGACGUAGAAACCACAACACUAUCUGAAAUAAUGCAGAGCUUCUUCAAGAGGAAGACCUGUGGUCCGGUCUGUGGCAGAAACACGCGCCAAAUAUAUCGCGAGACAAACAAGGAUUCUUUGAACAAGCACAGGCAGCAUAAUAUGAUGUAGAGAUGGCCAAAUUGAAGCCGAAAGAAGGAGUAUUCUGCAAAUCCAUCAUCAUACAAUAAACAUUUAAAUACCCUUUCCCCAGGACACUUUCUUAUUGGACGACCAUUAACCUCAGUGCCUUCUAAAGGUCUUGGUGAAUUCAAAUUUAGUCACUUACAAAGGUACCAGAGAAUUGAGCAAUUAAGGCAUCACUUUCGGAGACGAUGGCAAAAGGAGUACGUGGCGGAAUUACAACAGCGCACUAAAUGGAGAGAGAACAAAUCUGCCAAUCUUAAUAUUGGGGACCUAGUGCUGAUAGCCGAGCACAAUACUGCUCCUCUCUGCUGGAAGUUAGGUCGAGUGCAGUGGCUGAGAAAUGGCUUGGAUGGAGUGUCCAGAGAGUUGCCGGUACAAGAAGAAUAAAAAAGAAUGUUGAAAGAGUUUCAACGGCCGGGAGUAUGUUGCGACAUUGCGCAAGUUUUAUAUCAGGCGCAUUUUAAAAUUAUAAUUGUAAGGCGGGGCGACGUGCGCCAAAAAGCUGAAACCUCCAGGAAUUAAAUCGGUUAUUCAAGGCUCAAGUCAACUGUAGUUUCCAGUAUUUAUAUUAAAUAAUAAGGAUAAUAGGGAUCUUAAAAAUAAAUAAAACAAAUUAA